AGUGGAUAGGGCAGUUAUGGGGUAAAAGGAGCAAAUUAAUAAUAUUAAUAUAUCAAGGGGGGUAGUUAGCGUGUGUACGGGAGGGUAGUUAGUGGGGAUGGUUAGUGCGUGUGACGCAAUAUACCUCUGACCAACCCAUCAAUCUUUCUGCUACUCAGUUUUAUAUUUUUUGUUUGCUAACGAUUUUUAGUGCCUUAGGACAUAGGACAUUUCAUUUCAGCAGUCACGGUACAUAAACUAUAUUUUUGUUGAUACUAUCAUUACUGUGCAUGUUUUUGCUUGAAUCAUUAAAGCAAUCUUAAGUUCUUGUUCCUAUGUUCUCAAGUUAUUGUUGGAAUCUAUGUAGAGAGAAUCAUGCAUGGCCUUCGAUUAAGCUGCAAUGCUGCCUCGUCUAAAAGCCGGCCAAUUUGCUGGUCAUGACUGGAUAUGGUAAUUGCUCCCUGUGGAACUGAUAGUACUGGUGACUUGAGGGGGAAAAAGAUUGUUUGGUGUGGAAAAGGUAUGACUAAUGAGUUUAUAUUAUUUCCCCACCUGAAAUUUGGCAUCAUCAGUGACUUUACAUGUAAAGAAGCAGUUGUAUAUGAAAGGGUACUUGUUAUAACUUGAUCUGGGGAUGCUUCAUUAACUGCGAUUGAACAGUAAAUCCUCUGGUCCUUUACUGCAAGAUUGUCUGUGUUGACGUCAAUUAAUAAACUGACUUCAGGUUGCUUUUUUUAAUCUGCUGUACAUCUCUCCUACCACAUAUUCACCUUUGUGUUUGAAGAAUUCUCUGCAUUCACUUUGAAAAUAUUGAAAUUAAGUAAGUUUCCUUGCCUGAUAGGAAAUUGUAGUUUUUAGCUGUAGUCUUAUUCUUAACAUUUCUCCUUCCUUUUCAUCACUGACUAUACUCAAAAAUGAAUGACCUUUGUUUUAUUUCAAUAGGCACACUUCAUACCUUAGCACAUUUAAAUGAUCUUGUGCCAACAGUAUGGGACUCAACACUGAACUUGUUUAUGUGACAAACUAUUUCUUAAAAUUCCCACAAGAAAGCACUUGGAGUAAACUAAAGAAAAUCUGUGGUUGCUGCUAAUCUAAGAUAGAAACUGCUAGAAAUACUCAGCAAGUUGAACAAUAUCUCCAGAGAGGAACAUCUCAUGAUGAAUUCUGAUGAAAGGUCUUCAGCCUGAAAUUAAUUCCUAUUUCUACAUAUCUUGUCUGAGUGCUCCCUGGACUUAUUUUGAUAUUUAUGUCCAGGUACCUGCCUUGAGUCAAAAGUACAAGUGUCCCACUUGCUUGGAUGAGCACAACUGCAACAGCACUCGAGGCUUGAUACAAUCCAGGAACAGAAUUCAAAAGAAAGAUAAAGCCAGGUUCUUUCAACUAGCAACCCCAUGGCCUUAAGCAUCUUUUCCUCUCCUAUGUCUGCUGUCUGCAUCAAAUUUUCAGAAUUAUACAGAGAUGUUGCAGAAGAAGAGUUUUUUAAUAAAAACUGAAAAUACUAGAAAUACUCAGCAUGUCAAGCAGUAUCUGUAAAAAGUGAAAUGGUCAACAUUUCAUGUCAGAGAUCCUUUGUCAGAACUUGUGCUCUUGGCCUGCUGAGAAUUUCUGGUAUUUUCUCAUUUUAAAAUUUCUGGCAUGAGCAGUUUUUUAAAUUUUCAUUUUGAGUUUUUUUAUCUGGGUGCAUGCUGCAUUAUCAGGCUAGGCUGGUAGAAAUCAUAGCACUGAAUAAAUUGUUGAAAAACAAUGUUCAUCGACAGAUCAUUUUCUAUUUCCCGCCAUUUUGCCUCCUCCCUAAUCUUACUUUCCAAUUUUGUGGUUGAUAGAGAGGUGAUGUGAAACAAGGCAAGGGGUUUCAUCAUCCAAAAUAAUGAAGCUUGUUUGAUUGGCACCUGACUCAGCCCCCACGUGUUCACUCCCCCACCGAUGAUGGAUGACAGUGGUAUUAUGCACAGUGUUCAAAACGCAAUACAGCAACACUCCGCGGCUCCUUCAACAACGUCUCUCAAAUCCACAUCCUCUACAAUCCAGAAGGGCAAAUGCAUUGCCAAGUUGCGCAUGUUCCCUUAUGACAUAAGUGUAAAAGGAGUCUAUUUUGGCCUUAGAGCAAUAUUUUUCCUGGCUAAUUUUCCCAAUAACCUGUUCUACCCCUAUUCCCAUCAAUUUUACACAAGGUAAUUUACAGUGGCCAAUUAACCUACUAAUCCGUACAUUUUUGGAACGUGGGAGGAAAUUGGAGCGCCUGAAGGAAAUUCAUACAUUCACUGGGAGAAUCACAAAUCACACAGGCAGCAGCAGUGGACAGGAUCAAACCAACAUUUCUGGAUCUGUGAGGUAGCACCUCCACACGCUUCUCCACGCACACACGUGGCAAUUUAAAUGACCAAAUACCUACUGACCCACUUGUCUUUGGGUUAAGGGAGGAAGCCCACAUAUCACAGAGAGAAAGUGUAAACUCCAUACUGACUGUACUAGAGGUUAGGAUUUAACCCAGACCACUGCUUUGGAAAAAAAACAUCAGGAACACUGAUCUCCAGGUUAACAGCAGGAAGCCUUAUCGCCACAGCUAAUCAACAGCUUUAAAAAAAACAAAAAACAUUUUGUAUCCAAUACCAUAACCUCCCAGCAUGGAAAUUUAUAUUAUUUCAUUGUUUUGAUAUGUUUAAGUCCAGGCAGUCCCACAUAAGCUGAUAACACUGAAUACCUCUAUCUCACACAGCACCAAUGUAAGAAGGCAGCUUGCCACUGACCCCAAGUGCAAGUUGGGAUCCUGGCUGCUAGUGACAUCCAUAUCCAAGGAAAAUAAAUGCUUCCUCCAUGACCAUACUGCUUAAACAAGGCACAUAUCGAAACCUUGGGAUCUUUGUACUGAUCUUGGAAUGUAGCCUGCAGAGUUCAGUAAGGUUAUGCUGUUUACACCUUUCGUAAUCAUCUUCCUUAGUCACCCUACCCCACCUGCCAACAUCCCUUCACCUCUGCAUCAUGUAUAUAAAGUUGAAGUGCACCUUUUAUAAGUGCCAUUCAUUAUAAUAUUAUGACCUAUCCUGCACUCUGCUCUCCUAAAUGAUUUACACUAACUUCAACCUUAUUCUCUGUAUAGUGCUGUGACACACAAAAGUACUGUAGCAUGCCCAUCACUGAAAGCUUUUAUUUUUUCUUCAUAGUUUUGCUUUGGGCCCAAUGCAGUACAUUUUUAAUGCAGUACUAUUUUUUAUUCUAUUCCAUGCUUAGGUUUACCAUGUCAGUUACCUUGCAUUCUGUUGGGAAUGAAUUUAUAAACUCCUGCCUAGUGAUAAUUUUUAGUUUGUAUGCUAAUAACAGAUCCUGCUGAUAUUUCUUCAGUGACUAAGUGUCAUUUUUCCACUGGUUAGAGGUAUCCUUGGUAUAGGUAAUGUUAAUUGCUUGUUGCUCUCCUUUUGAAUUUUUGAAAAUCUCUUUAUGAGCUCUUCGCCACUGUUCAUGUCAUUUAUCCAUCAGCAUUCACUCCAUUUAAUAUGUGACUCUGCCUGCAAGACUGCAGCCCCUGUUGUGUGCAAUAGGUUUGGUUGAGUGCUCACAGCAUCUCCUGUCACAUCACAUUUGCAUAAAGAAGGAUGGAUAACUACAUUUGAGCAAAGAAAUGAAAAUGCCCAGCGCCAGACCUGUCAGCUUUGUUCUCAAGUUAAUUGUGAAAAAUUUGAUUUGCUUUGUUUUCUGUCUUUAUUAUGACAACCCCCUCCCCAUUUGCUUUGGCUUGCACGCUCCAGCAUGUAGUCUUUAAAGACCAGACAGCUAUUUUACCCCCAGAUCCACCCCAGGGAUUGAUUACUUCAGUCUUACUAACCCUUAGUACUGGUUCAUCUCUUUGGCUAAAUUAGGCCUACUUGGCAGAUUUGCUUACAAUUAAAAUUCACGAAGAUUUGUACAUUUACAGUCAGUGCUCUGGGUUCUCAUUGUUUGGGAGACUACAAUUAUUCAUCAAACCAUUUCAGGAUUAAUCACACUCUUUAAUUGAUUUUCUCUGCCAAUUUCAAGUGACAGGUUUGCUAUUAUUCAGUAGCAUUUUCAGAAUCGACAUUAUUUUCAGGAAUAGUACAAUUUUCAAGAUAUGUCUGAUAUUAGUUAAGUUUAGAGAUAUAGCGUGGAAACGGGCCCUUCGGCCCACCGAUUCCACGCUGACCAUUGUUUACCCAUACAUUAGUUCUAUGUUAUUCCACUUUCACAUACUGCACACUAGGGACAAUUCACAGAAGCCAAAUAACAUACAAACCUGUGUGUUUUUAGAAUGUGGUAGGCAACCUGAGGCGACUAGCAGGAUUUAACUUGAUAUCUUUGAAUUUAUAUGUGGAUGGUAAUUGUUGAUGUUAUCAUGCAACUUUGUUUUUAUAUAUUUGGCAUAUGUUAAUGCAUCUAAUUCUGCCAUCUGUUUUUACUGUUGAGAUUUUUAGAAUAAUUUUAGUAGUGAUGAUUUCAAUAGUUUACUUUAAUUUUCAAGUUUAUUUGUACUUAGGUUAACUUUUGUAAUUGUGUCUGAAGUUGCCGAACAUAAAAUUGUGACAGUCAUGUCUAAGUUUUAUUUAUUUUAAAAUGCAUUUAUUUUUCUGAAUAAUUUAUUAACUUAUCUCAAGGAAAUCAUAUUGCAAUUCUUUAACUAGGUCAAAUUUGUUAUAACUCAUUACAAACAAUUCCCUGAUUUGGAGUCUUUUGGGACACGGAAUAAAACCUGCUCUCACACAAUAUUUUUCAACUUUUGUUUCUUGACAGAGGAUGUGGUGUUACGUUGCAGAAAAGUAUGAUAUGGCCCUUUUUCUGGGGAUGUAACUCCCUGUAACAUGGGUGUUAUCUGUAUGGGAUGUUAUUUUGAAAAUACAGUGUACACAUAUUCAAUAUUUGACAUCCUGCGAAAAUUUACAUUUUUUAUAUAGCUUGUAUCAUUGCAGUUAAAUACAACUGCAGUACUGCAUCCUGCUCCAUUAGAAAAAAAACUCAAAGUUCACUUGAGAGAUUAUUUUCCUCUCUAUGUAGAGUAUUUUUGGGGGUUGCUUAUGAUUACAAAUUUUGACCCUACCUUGUACAAUACAAUUGGGAUUUGGCAGCUCUUCAAUGGCCUUAAAGGACUCUUGCCUCGGAGCUUUCAAAUUUGUAAUAAUUGGUCAAAUUCUACAAAAUAAUAAAAUUGUCAGUAGGAAGUGAUGGCUAAAUUUGGCAUGUAAUGUGAUAUCUGUCAUUUAAGGAUUUAUGGCAGAUUAUAUCUAGAGGCAACAUGAAAGUUGGUUCAUAAAUGAUGACAAACAGCAGUUGCAGAGUUUUUCUGCUUCAGAGUAUCUCUUGGUAGUUAAUUAGUUACAGUGCAUUGCCCUAAGUACAGGUGGAUCACAGAAGAUUCAGGGAGUUGAGAAAAGGUUACAGGGAAAUAAUUGGGCAAUGGGUUUGAUGGGAAUGUACUGAAUGCCAGCAUAGAGUUGAUGGUUGGAAUUACUUGCUGUGUUGUAAGGAAAUAAUAGACAAAUAUGUUCAAUAAAGAUCUGUUUAUAAAGACUACAAAA